rnacentral:lncRNA from 1 species
AUGAUCCUGGGGGCUGUGGUGGUCCUGGAGUCCGGGUGGGGGUCCUUGGGGUCUCUGAUCCGCGGGGGGGGGAUCCCAGGGUCUGGUCAGGGGUCCCUGGGGUCUAUGAUGCACGGGGAGGAGUUCCGAGGUCCCCAUUCAGGGUGGGGGUGCUCGUCCCCAGGGGUCGGACAGGGGUCCCGGAGGGGAUGGGGGUGCGCGUGCGGGGCGGGAAUCGGGGGCGCGUGCAGGCGAGGCUGGGGCGCGUGCAGGAGGGGCGGGGGCGCGCUCGGGGGGGGGUGGGAGUCGGGGGCGCGUGCUCGCUCGAGACGGGGGCGCGCGCAAGAGGGGCGGGGGCGCGCGGGGAGUCGGAGGCGCGCGUGGAGAGUCGGGGACGCGCGCGAGGUGGGAAUCAGGGGCGUGCGCAGUGGAGCGGGGGCGCGCUCGGGGCGGGAGUUGGGGCGCGCUCUGGGGAGUCGGGGACGCGCUCUGGAGAGUCGGGGACGCGUGGGGGCGGGGGCGUGCUCGGGGCGGGAGUCGGGGUUGUGCGCGGGGCGGGGGCGCGCGCGGGGCGGGAGUCGGGGGCUCCGGCAGGCGAGGCUGGGGCGCGGGCGCACUCGGCAGGGGGGGGGGGAGUCGGGGGCGCGCGCGCGAGACGGGGGCGCGCGCAGGAGGGGCUGGGGAACACAGGAGAGUCGGGGGCGCGCGCGCGGGGCUGGAGUCGGGGCGCGCGCGGGACUCAGGGCGCGAGCAGGGGCGGGGGCGCGCUGGGGAGUCGGGGGCGCGCUCAGGGCGGGGAGCGUGGGCACGCGCGGGGGGGCGGGCCGUGGGCGCGCUCAGGGCGUGGGCGCGCUCGGGAGGGUCGGGGACGCUCGGGGAGCGGGGGCGCGAGCGCGGGGCAGGAGUCGGGGGCGCGCUGGGGCGUGGGCGCGCUCUGGGAGUCGGGGGCGCGCGCAGGGCGGGGGCGCGCUCUGGAGAGUCGGGGACGCGUGGGGGCGUGGGCGCGCUCGGGGCGGGAGUUGGGGGCGCGCGCAGGGCGGGGAUGCGCUCGGGGCGGGAGUCGGGGGCGCGCUCGGGGCGGGAGUCGGGGGCGCGCGCAGGGCGGGGGCGCGCGCGGGCGGGGCGCGCGCCGGGCGGGAGUCGGGGGCGCGCGUGGAGAGUCCGGGACGCGCGCGAGGUGGGAAUCAGGGGCGUGCGCAGUGGAGCGGGGGCGCGCUCGGGGCGGGAGUUGGGGGCGCGCUCUGGGGAGUCGGGGACGCGUGGGGGCGGGGGCUUGCUCGGGGCGGGAGUCGGGGUUGCGCGCGGGGCGGGGGCGCGCGGGGGCGGGAGUCGGGGGCGCGGGCAGGCGAGGCUGGGGCGCGGGCGCACUCGGCAGGGGGGUGGGAGUCGGGGGCGCGCGCGCGAGACGGGGGCGCGUGCAGGAGGGGCUGGGGAGCACGGGAGAGCCGGGGGCGCGCGCGCGGGGCUGGAGUCGGGGCGCGCGCGGGACUCAGGGCGCGAGCAGGGGCGGGGGCGCGCUGGGGAGUCGGGGGCGCGCUCAGGGCGGGGAGCGUGGGCGCGCGCGGGGGGGCGGGCCGUGGGCGUGCGCAGGGCGGGGGCGCGCUCUGGAGAGUCGGGACGCGUGGGGCGUGGGCGCGCUCGGGGCGGGAGUCGGGGGCGCGCGCAGGGCGGGGAUGCGCUCGGGGCGGGGAGUCGGGGGCGCGCUCGGGGCGGGAGUCCGGGGCGCGCGGGGGGGGGCGUGGGCGCGCUCGGGGCGGGAGUCGGGGGCGCGCGCGGGGCGGGGGCGCGCGCGGGCGUGGGCGCGCUCGGGCGGGAGUCGGGCGCGCGCGCAGGGCGGGGGCGCGCUCGGGAGGGUCGGGGACGCGCGGGGAGCGGGGGCGCGGGAGUCGGGGGCGCGCGGGGGCGUGGGCACGCUCGGGGCGGGAGUCGGGGGUGCGCGCAGGGCGGGGGCGCGCGCGGGGCGGGAGUCGGGGGCGCGCGCGGGGCGGGAGUCGGGGGCGCGCGGGGGCGUGGGCACGCUCGGGGCGGGAGUCGGGGGUGCGCGCAGGGCGGGGGCGCGCUCGGGGCGGGAGUCGGGGGUGCGCGCAGGGCGGGGCCGCGCGAAGGGCGGGAGUCGGGGGCGCGCGGGGGCGCGGGCGCGCGCGGGGCGGGAGGCGGGGGCGCGCGCGGGGCGGGAGUCGGGGGCGCGCGCGCGCGGGGCGGGGCGUGGGCGCGGCGCGGGGCGGGCCGGCGCGGGCGCGUUUCCGCCGUCGGGCCCGGGGCUCCGAGUCCGGCCGGCGGCGCGGAAGCGGCGGCGGCGGCGGCGGCGGCGGCGGCGGCGGCGGGGCAGCCAUGUCGCCUUUGUCCGCGGCGCGGGCGGCCCUGCGGGUGUACGCGGUGGGCGCGGCGCUGGUCGUGGCGCAGCUGCUGCGUCGCUGCGUGCGGGGCUUCGUGGAGCCAGUCUUCUCUCCACAACCGGAACGUGUUGCCAUAGUGACCGGAGGGACCGAUGGCAUUGGAUACUCGACCGCAAAGCAGCUGGCGAAGCUGGGCAUGCACGUCAUCAUAGACCUUUACACUCUGCCGGAAAUAAUGACAGCAAAGCCCAGGACGUCGUGAGGAGGAUAAAAGAGGACACGCUCAACGACCAAGUGGAGUUUCUGUAUUGCGACCUGGCGUCCAUGAGGUCUAUCCGGGAGUUCGUCCAGACAUUCAAAAUGAAGAAGCUGCCCCUCCACGUCCUGGUGAAUAACGCCGGCGUGAUGAUGGUGCCCCAGAGGACCACGGACGACGGCUUUGAGGAGCACUUCGGCGUCAACUAUCUGGGGCACUUCCUGCUGACCAACCUCCUCCUGGACACCCUGCAGGAGUCGGGCGCCCCUGGCCGCAGCGCCCGGGUGGUGACCGUGUCCUCGGCCACGCACUACGUGGGGGAGCUGAACCUGGACGACCUCCAGAGCAGUACCAGCUACUCGGCGCACGCAGCCUAUGCGCAGAGCAAGCUGGCCCUGGUGCUGUUCACAUACCACCUGCAGGCGCUGCUGAGUGCCCGGGGCAUCCCCGUGACCGCCAGCGUGGCCGACCCCGGCGUGGUGGACACCGACCUCUACAGACACGUCUUCUGGGGCACCCGGCUCGUCAAGAAGCUCCUGGGCUGGUGGGUUUUCAAGACCCCAGAUGAGGGAGCCUGGACCUCCGUCUAUGCCGCAGUCACCCCAGCCCUGGAAGGUCUCGGUGGCCGCUAUCUCUACAACGAGAGGGAGACCCGGUCUCUGGAGGCCACGUACGACCCGGAGCUUCAGCGGCAGCUCUGGGCCAGAAGCUGCCAGUUGACAGGCAUCACCGACGUGACCCGGGAGACCUUCGGCGAGUAGCGGGCUGCCGGGAAGACUGUGGUCCGACCCAGGGAACAUCACGGUCUGUGCCGCCCUCACAGGUCUGUUUGUGCUGGACCACAUCUCUCCAUCACCCUCAUCCCCCCGACCCUCAAGGCUCUGUAUCCCCCCAGGGUCUCCCGUCGAG